rnacentral:rRNA from 1 species
AGAUUUCCGAAUGAGGAAACUCACUUAGAGUAAUGUCUAAGUAUCAUUAAGUGAAUACAUAGCUUAAUGAGGGGAACUCAGGGAACUGAAACAUCUAAGUACCUGAAGGAAGAGAAAGAAAUUCGAUUCCGUAAGUAGCGGCGAGCGAACGCGGAUUAGCCCAAACCAAUAAAGUUUUCUUUAUUGGGGUUGCGGACAUAUCAUAACGAAGAGGUAUCGUAAUUGAAGAGGUUUGGAAAGACUCACCACAGAAGGUAAUAGUCCUGUAUGUUAAACGAGAAGACUUCAGAUAUGAUCCAGAGUACCACGGGA